CCUCACUGGUGCUUAGUUCCUGAACUCUGUAUAGGACAUCCAUAGGAACUAGAAGGCACGCACACUCCCACCUCCCCCUCCUUACUCAUUCUCUUUCCUUUCUACACACAAGCCUAGGGAGAGCAGGCUUAAUUCAUCCCACACUCAACGUUCCCCCCAAGUCACUAUACAAUGUAAUUGUACCCAACUCAGGAUCUGGAUUCAAAGUCAGUUUCUUAUAAAUGCAAAUACACGACAGCUAUCCAAAUUAUUUUUGAAAUUUUCUGAAAUUGUCCUUCAGUUGCUAGGACCAGGGUCCUUAGAAGCCCGAAAGUCCAAGUUUCACUUCUUCCUUUUGCGUGUUGCAUGCUGCCUCCCGUUCCUUGGCCUAGUCAAGGUGUAAUUGGAGCAUCAGAUAAGGACAGUGGGUCUCUCCCUCCCUCCCCCUUCUUCCUGCUCCUCUUCCUCCUCAUUCGUUUCUCCCCACUCCACCCAAGGGCCUUGAGUUGAAUGUUGAACACGAACUGCCCUGACACAGGUGCUGACCUGUGACCCCAUCCAUUGCCAAGUAGGCAGGCAGUGGUGGCGGUGGGGGGUGGACAUCAGCUUGUGCCUCCUCUAGACCAGAAAUUUCUUUGCCUUGUGAUCCUGACCCUCUGACUUUCUUCACCCUGGAUGCCCAUCUUGCCCACUUGUCUGGCCCACCUAUGUGGCCCACUGUGGAGUAACACGCAGCACCCCACACUCCUCCUCAGGCCAAAACCCCACCCAGGACAAGGUCCCUCUCCUCAGGCCUCAGCUCUGCCUUGUCUGUGGGGUCACCACACAAGCCUUGCUCUCCACUCCCUCCAGUCAGAAGCAGCUGGUUCUUCUUUCUCAGCAUCCUGUUAGGCCUCCAAGGCCUUGGCUUGGUUGCCAAGGUUACCUCUCAGUUUCCUGACCACAUGUGGAACACUGAGGUGAAGCCAUUCUGCUAGCAGAGGCUGGGCUGAGGUAUUCUAGAAAGAUGACGUCAGCUCACUCCCACAUUACCUCACUGGUGACAGCUUCACUCUUCUGCCCAGAGCUGAUAAGAAACACCACCCUGGGAAGACCAGGCCCCUCUCUUCCCCACUUCCUAAUCAGGCUGGAAAUAGUGUCAAAUAUAUUCAUCACUCUUUACGAGCAUCACUGGGUCGUGUCCAGGACGUCUUCUGGGUUCCCUGUCAGCUUACAAAGUCGUACCUCUCCAGAGCAGCCCUAGGCCAGCCUGUUUGGGCUGUAAACAGUCAGCAACAGGAAUCAAUGACAGAAGAGAACGACAUUGACCUUCGAACCUGUUCAUGAAGAUUGUAUGAAACUGAGGAUGUUCGCUCUUUUAAAAAUUUCUGUCUUAAAAAAAAAAAAAAAUUCUGUCUUUAAACCCCUU
rnacentral:lncRNA from 1 species